rnacentral:rRNA from 1 species
UACGUAGGGUGCGAGCGUUAAUCGGAAUUACUGGGCGUAAAGCGUGCGCAGGCGGUGAGCUGUGUCCGAUGUGAAAGCCCCGGGCUUAACCUGGGAAUGGCAUUGGAAACUGGCUCGCUGGAGUGUGGCAGAGGGGGGUGGAAUUCCGCGUGUAGCAGUGAAAUGCGUAGAGAUGCGGAGGAACACCGAUGGCGAAGGCAGCCCCCUGGGCUAACACUGACGCUCAGGCACGAAAGCGUGGGGGGCAAACAGG